rnacentral:rRNA from 1 species
GACGAACGCUGGCGGCGUGCCUAACACAUGCAAGUCGAGGGGUAGCAAUACCACUGGCGCACGGGUGAGUAACGCGUAGAUCAUCUGCCCCUAUCACAGACAUAACGUCGGGAAACUGACGCUAAUAGCUGAUGAGGCAAUUUAUUGUCAAAGGAGUGAUCCGGAUAGGGAUGAGUCUGCGUCUGAUUAGCUUGUUGGUAGUGUAACGGACUACCAAGGCGAUGAUCAGUAACUGGUCUGAGAGGACGAUCAGUCACACUGGAACUGAGACACGGUCCAGACUCCUACGGGAGGCAGCAGUGAGGAAUAUUGGUCAAUGGGGGGCAACCCUGAACCAGCGACGCCGCGUGAAGGAUGACAGGGCUUUGCCCCGUAAACUUCUGUCGGGAGGGAAAAAGGACUGUUUGGCGGUCUGGGAUUGUACCUCUAAAGGAAGCACCGGCUAACUACGUGCCAGCAGCCGCGGUAAU